UUGGAGGGCAAGUCUGGUGCCAGCAGCCGCGGUAAUUCCAGCUCCAAUAGCGUAUAUUAAAGUUGUUGCAGUUAAAAAGCUCGUAGUUGAAUUUCGGGGUUCUACCGUUGGUCGGGCUUUGUCUGUACUGGUGUGUAGAAUUUCUACCUUCUGGGGAACCAUCAUGCUAUUAAUUUAGCGUGGUGGGAAACCAGGACCUUUACCUUGAAAAAAUUAGUGUGUUCAAAGCAGGCUUAUGUCUGAAUACAUUAGCGUGGAAUAAUAGAAUAGGACGGUGGUCCUGUUUUGUUGGUUUCUGAAUCACCGUAAUGAUUAAUAGGGAUAGUUGGGGGCAUUAGUAUUCAAUUGUCAGAGGUGAAAUUCUUGGAUUUAUUGAAGACUAACUUCUGCGAAAGCAUUUGCCAAGGAUGUUUUCAUUAAUCAAGAACGAUAGUUAGGGGAUCGAAGACGAUCAGAUACCGUCGUAGUCUUAACCAUAAACUAUGCCGACUAGGGAUCGGACGAUGUUAAUUUUUCUUGACUCGUUCGGCGCCUUACGGGAAAC
rnacentral:rRNA from 1 species